UACGUAGGGUGCGAGCGUUGUCCGGAAUUAUUGGGCGUAAAGAGCUCGUAGGCGGCUUGUCGCGUCGUCCGUGAAAACCCACAGCUCAACUGUGGGCUUGCGGUCGAUACGGGCAGGCUAGAGUUCGGUAGGGGAGACUGGGAAUUCCUGGUGUAGCGGUGAAAUGCGCAGAUAUCGGGAGGAACACCAAUGGCGAAGGCAGCUCGCUGGGACGUUACUGACGCUGAGACGGCGAAAAG
rnacentral:rRNA from 1 species